rnacentral:rRNA from 1 species
GUAACACAUGAUCAACUUGCCCUAUGGAGAGCACUAACCUCGGGAAACUGAGGAUAAUGGCUCAUACUUGAUUAGGCUUGGAAAAGUUUUCAAUGAAAGGCGUAAGAAAAAUGGUUCUUAUGCGCCAUAGGAUAGGAUCGUGCUCGAUUAUGGUAGUUGGUGAGGUAACGGCUCACCAAGCCGAUAAUCGAUAGGGGCCGUGAGAGCGGUUGCCCCGAGAUGGGUACUGAGACAGCGACCCAGGCCUUACGAGGCGCAGCAGGCGCGAGACCUCCGCAAUACACGCAAGUGUGACGGGGUUACCCAAAGUGUCCUUAUUGGACUGUGGCGGGUGAGUAAUGUUCCCCGCUAGAACAGGAGAGGGCAAGGCUGGUGCCAGCCGCCGCGGUAAAACCAGCUCUUCAAGUGGUCGGGAUAAUUAUUGGGCUUAAAGUGUCCGUAGCCGGUUUAGUAAGUUCCUGGUAAAACCGGGCAGCUUAACUGUCCGUAUGCUAGGAAUACUGCUAUGCUAGAGGGCGGGAGAGGUCUGAGGUACUACAGGGCGUACGGGUGACAUCUUAUAAUCCUUGUAGGACCAUCAGUGGCGACAGCGUCAGACUGGUAACGCGCCUGACGGUGACGGACGAAAGCCAUGGGAGCGAACCGGAUUAGAUACCCGGGUAGUCCUGGCCGUAAACGAUGCAUACUAGGCAAUGGUGCGGCUAUGAGCCGCAUCAGUACCGUAGGGAAACCGUUAAGUGUGCCGCCUGGGAAGUACGGUCGCAAGGCUAAAACCUUAAAGGAACUUGUGCGCGGAGGAGCACNNCANCAAGGGGUGAAGCCUGCGGUUCAAUUGGACUCAACGCCGGGAAACUUACCAGGGGAGACAGCAGAAUGACAGUCAGGUUGACGGCCUUACUCGACGAGCUGAGAGGAGGUGCAUGGCCGUCGCCAGUUCGUGUGGAGGUAUCCUGUUAAUCAGGCACGAACGAGAUCCGCGCCUUUAUUGCCAUCAAGAAGUCAACUUCGUUGGACAUAAGGACCGCCGUCGAUAAGACGGAGGAAGGGGCGGGCAAAGGCAGGUCAGUAUGCCCCGAACCU